AAACUGCAGGGAAUACUUGCUAAUACUUAGUGGUGUAGAAGAAUUCUUGGCAGAACAAGAGCAUGCUGUACUCUUACAAGAAUUGGACAUCCCUUGCCUGCAGAUUACAGAGUUACUUUGAAGACCAUGUGCUAUCCUUGGAACAAGAUAGACCAUGUACCGUCCUCAAAGAGAUUCAACAAGGAAGAAUAAGCAUUGUGCAAGGAUGAAGACAGAUGGCAAACACAAUAUGGGAAUUGCUAAUUUUGCAACUUAGCUAAAAAUGCUUAGAGCGUGAUAACCAAUCAACAAAUAACAUGUAUGCAUGAAUACAGCCACUUUGCCAAUGAGCAUUAAGCAGUAGUGGCAUGAGGCAGUGUAUAGAGAAACAUAAACCUGCCAAAGUAGUUUAAUAAAGGAGAGCGACAUGUAGCCAUAUUGGUGUGAUUGUCCUUACUCAGCUGACUCUCCGUGGGACCCUCUUCAUAGUGGCUGAUUUCAUUUCACAAAGACCAAAGCUGACAGCACGUUGAAACCUUUGCUGGGUGUUCCAUUUCCAUAACUACCUGUGCACUGCGCUGUGUCUCCUACUGUGAGCCCACACAGUGCCUGCUUGUCUGAUGACUGCAAUGAGAGGAACUCACUGAGGGGCCUUCCCUGCCUCCUGUGAUCACUGCUGAAGAAAUAAAUAGCCUCAUAUAUGGCAUGCUCACUUUCUGCUUGUUUGUGGAUAUAAGCAUGUGCAUUUGAAAAGGAUUACUGUCAUCAUUGAGGCACGUGAUGCAAGGGGAUGGACACUCAAACAGGCUGAACUCACCCAUGUGUGCUGCUGCAACAUCUCCUGGAGGUGACCAGAACGGGCUAAAUUAUGUCAGAUGCUCCUAAGAUCAAACAACAGAUGACAGAAGAAGGACUGACAAUGGUUACCUACCAGCUACAAGAUGAAAAAGCCAAAUUUUCAGAAUAGUUUUCUCCAACCCAGCUUCCAGAAAACCUGAUGUCUACUUUCUCCUUGAAGAAAUUGAAAGACUUAGCCAAGAUUUGUGACAAAGAGGACAAUGCAGGAGGGAUGAAGAAUCUUCUCCUGUUCUGUAUCUCCAAUCCCCUUGGUACAAAAGGGAAUCAAAAACCAGUGUCCAUUCCCAGGAAAAUCCAGUGCAAAGGUGGGAUAAAACUGAGGCUAACCACCAGCAGAUGAUAAGGUAAUUGCAUUAGUCUUCAUGAAGGCCUUGAGAUCUUCUGUGUUUUGUUGUAAGGAGUAAAAGCAAUCUGCAUUUUAAAUGUUCUAGAAGAGGAAAAAGAGAGUGGAGGAGAACCAGCAAUGGAACACUGUCCAGAAAUGACAUUGUCACAUCCUAGAUACAUCAAACAGCAAAAUGAAAAACAAUUUACUUAAAACCUGUGGGAAAACAAUAAAACAAACUUAUCAAAAUCAAGCUCUUCUGAAAUGUAACUGAAAAGCAAAGGUUUCUCUUCUGUCUGAAAAAUGAAACGUUUCUAUCAAAUUUGCAUUUGAAAAACAACAGUGAAAUGGUAACAGAGUUUGAAUAUCUCUCCGUAAGAAAUGAAAAUACAGCCUGUGGGAAGGGCCCAUGUUGGAGAUAUGUAUAGAGGAGUGCCUCUGGGAGGGACACCAAGGUGGAUCAGGGGAAGAGUGAGAUGAAUCAGCCCCUUGAGGAGGAAGAAGCAUCAGAAACAACAUGUGAUGAACCGACCACAUCACACUUUUCCUGUCUCCCUGUGCCACUGGUGGGGGGGAGGUAGAGGAAAUUGGGAGUGAAGUUGGACCCAAGCAGAAGCGAGGGAUUGUUGGAGCCCAGGACAUCCCCCUGACGGUCCUGGAUGAUCCAAGCCCCAGCCGGGGGCUUUGAAGCCGGGGGGUCGGAGACCCUGGCAUACAGCCAAAGACCCCUGGGGCUUUGAGUUCGGCCCAUGGAACAAAUUACCACCUUUGUAUGAAGAAUUAAAGGUCACAAAAGUUUAAAUAGCAUAAUAGUAGUAGUUAUAGGGUGAAAAGAGAAAUUUUGAAGAUUUUUACUGUAGGGGUCUAGGAGGCAAGAUGGAGGAAUUUGGGCGUUGUCCUGUUCUUCUUCCUUCUUCUUCCUAGCCUCCAUCUUCUUGGUGAUGGUGGCACUCAGGGAUUGGUGUAAAGUAGAAAGUCACUAACAUAGGUGAUAGAUAUUGGAACAUAACUGUAAAUAUUGAAUACGUAGCUUAUAGUACAAAAGACAAUGCCGGCCCCGUGGGAGGGCAGUGUGCCUCGGACUGACCUGCUGAACAGACCUCAGAAACAGAAAAUGUUUGAGCUAAGAAAUAAUAAACAACCUUGAGAAUGCAAGCCGAAGGCUUUUGAUUUCUUCUGGGACAGCUGG